rnacentral:rRNA from 1 species
CCUACGGGAGGCAGCAGUGGGGAAUCUUGCGCAAUGGGCGAAAGCCUGACGCAGCAACGCCGCGUGCGGGAAGAAGGCUUUCGGGCUGUAAACCGCUUUCAGCAGGAACGAAAAUGACGGUACCUGCAGAAGAAGGAGCGGCCAACUAUGUGCCAGCAGCCGCGGUGAUACAUAGGCUUCAAGCGUUGUCCGGAUUUAUUGGGCGUAAAGAGUUCGUAGGCGGUCAAGUAAGUCGGGUGUGAAAAUUCUGGGCUCAACCCAGAGACGCCACCCGAUACUGCUUAACUUGAGUUCGAUAGGGGAGUGGGGAAUUCCUAGUGUAGCGGUGAAAUGCGCAGAUAUUAGGAGGAACACCGGUGGCGAAGGCGCCACUCUGGAUCGAUACUGACGCUGAGGAACGAAAGCAUGGGUAGCAAACAGGAUUAGAUACCCUGGUAGUCCAUGCCGUAAACGGUGGGCACUAGGUGUGGGUUUCUAUUAACGAAAUCCGCGCCGUCGCUAACGCAUUAAGUGCCCCGCUGGGGAGUACGGUCGCAAGACUAAAACGUCAAAUGAAUUGACGG